GCCAGGCGCACGCUACUGGACCUUCUGCGCCUGUGCAGAUACGCUGACCGGGAAGACCCUGGCUGAUUUUAUCGCAGUAUCUCAUGGUGACAAAUCUUUCAAGGAUGGAGCUGGAAUCUAAUCGGUUGAGAUGAGGAACUCUGCUUCAGAUCAGUGUUCCAAAGGAGAAAGGAAGAGGCUGCCGUUGACAGAGACCAUGAGAGAGAAGACAAAGUGGGGCUGUGGGGAGAACAGGGAGCAUGUAGUUCACAUUCGAUGUUUGUUGGAGCCUUGAUAAAUUUCCAGCUAACUUCCUGUAUGGUUCUUUCCAAUUUUAAAUAAAAAAUUAUAGGAUACAUACAGGCAAACUUUGUUGUAAAGGGUUUAUUUUAAUGGAAGCCAGGCAAAUUUGAAAUUUCGUCAUUUUUAGCAUUCCUAUACUAAAAAUCAGGGAAUAUCCUGUCACUUUUACCAUUCCCCUUUGCAACCCAACUC